rnacentral:rRNA from 1 species
GAGUUUGAUCAUGGCUCAGAACGAACGCUGGCGGCAGGCUUAACACAUGCAAGUCGAACGAUAUAGUGGCAGACGGGUGAGUAACGCGUGGGAACGUACCUUUCACUACGGAAUAGCUCUUGGAAACGAGUGGUAAUACCGUAUACGCCCUUCGGGGGAAAGAUUUAUCGGUGAAAGAUCGGCCCGCGUUAGAUUAGCUAGUUGGUAGGGUAAUGGCCUACCAAGGCGACGAUCUAUAGCUGGUCUGAGAGGAUGAUCAGCCACACUGGGACUGAGACACGGCCCAGACUCCUACGGGAGGCAGCAGUGGGGAAUCUUGCACAAUGGGCGAAAGCCUGAUGCAGCCAUGCCGCGUGAAUGAUGAAGGCCUUAGGGUUGUAAAAUCUUUCGCUAGGGAUGAUAAUGACAGUACCUAGUAAAGAAGCCCCGGCUAAUUCGAGCUCAGCUGCAGAAGAAGCACCGGCUAACUC